rnacentral:lncRNA from 1 species
AGCAGCUGUGCCUUCUCUGCUGCAUGAAGUGUGACUACCUGUCAGCCAGGCUGGGCACCAGCUUGGGGAAUUAGAAAUGGCUUUUCAUGAACAUUGAGUUGAAGCUGGCCAGUGGGUUCAAAAGUGGUUGGGUAUGGUGGGGAGAGCCAGAUGGACAUCACAGCUGCAGGAGUCUCAUCCCUUCCAAAAUCAGGAUAAAAAUGGAGUUGCUACACUCCCCUGGGACUUACAUAAAUCAGAUUUAUGGUUCCUCAUGCUGCUACCAUGAACCUAUACCAGGAAAUGCUCAGACACACAGUCCAAAGGUUAAGUGCAUUUUUUAGUAUAUGUAUAUUUAUAUAUUUAGUAUAUGUAUAUUUAUUUAUUUAGUAUACUUUUGUAAAUGGUGUUUUUAAGGAAACAUUAAAUCUUACAGCGUGCACAAACAUUUUACCAAACUUUUCAUUCUGCUUUAUUUAUAUGCUGCAACAGUUAUAUUCCAUGUUUUGAAUGACAGUUCUUCAAACCAUUUCUUUUUGUACUGUAAGUGCAUUUAUGAAAAGACAGGGUAUAUUUUUGCUCACUUAAAUGUACCAGGAGCAUCAAGGGGUAAUUUUUCAGACACUUAGUAUUUUGUUGCUUCUACAGAUGCAAUUAAUUACAAAAAUCUUUUCAAACACUGAAAUUCUAGUUCAGUUGCAUUACGAAAAUGUAUGGUGAG